GAUGAACGCUGGCGGCGUGCUUAACACAUGCAAGUCGAACGGAAAGGCCCAAGCUUGCUUGGGUACUCGAGUGGCGAACGGGUGAGUAACACGUGGGUGAUCUGCCCUGCACUUCGGGAUAAGCCUGGGAAACUGGGUCUAAUACCGGAUAGGACCACAUUUUGGAUGGUGUGGUGGAAAGUUUUUCGGUGUGGGAUGAGCUCGCGGCCUAUCAUCUUGUUGGUGGGGUAAUGGCCUACCAAGGCGUCGACGGGUAGCCGGCCUGAGAGGGUGUACGGCCACAUUGGGACUGAGAUACGGCCCAGACUCCUACGGGAGGCAGCAGUGGGGAAUAUUGCACAAUGGGCGCAAGCCUGAUGCAGCGACGCCGCGUGGGGGAUGACGGCCUUCGGGUUGUAAACUCCUUUCGCUAGGGACGAAGCGCAAGUGACGGUACCUGGAGAAGAAGCACCGGCUAACUACGUG
rnacentral:rRNA from 1 species